AGCGAACGCUGGCGGCAGGCUUAACACAUGCAAGUCGAGCGGGCGUAGCAAUACGUCAGCGGCAGACGGGUGAGUAACGCGUGGGAACGUACCUUUUGGUUCGGAACAACACAGGGAAACUUGUGCUAAUACCGGAUAAGCCCUUACGGGGAAAGAUUUAUCGCCGAAAGAUCGGCCCGCGUCUGAUUAGCUAGUUGGUGAGGUAACGGCUCACCAAGGCGACGAUCAGUAGCUGGUCUGUGAGGAUGAUCAGCCACAUUGGGACUGGGACACGGCCCAAACUCCUACGGGAGGCAGCAGUGGGGAAUAUUGGACAAUGGGGGCAACCCUGAUCCAGCCAUGCCGCGUGAGUGAUGAAGGCCCUAGGGUUGUAAAGCUCUUGUGUGCGGGAAGAUAAUGACGGUACCGAAAGAAUAAGCCCCGGCUAACUUCGUG
rnacentral:rRNA from 1 species